AUCAGUCACAUAGGGGGGCUGCACACGGGCGGCUAAAAGAGGAAGGAGACCAUGGACCGAAACAUGACUUCUUCCCAUCCUCAGAAAUGUAAUUGUCCCCAUUUCUAUUUUAAGGAAAAGAAUGGGAAGCCUUCUAUCUGCUCGCAUAAAGAUUAUAUAUCCUUAGCCUAGUGAAGAUGCUAGAGUAUUGGAGGAAGAAUGUGAAGAUCCACGUAGAUGGGUAGUCCCAUAUCAAUUUUGCAAUAGAAAUCUAAAUAUAAUAUCUUUCUAUUAGCUUUUUUGAAUAGGGUCCUAAAUCAUUGUACCAUCUCUUCUACUAAAAGCAAGAAAAAGAUCAAGUGGAUCUAGACUUGGUAAGGCAGGCUCUGAUGCUAAUUUUGUUGGUGACAGAAUGAGGGUUUGGCAAUAUGCUAAUCCUAAACGCCUCUAAUUGUGGACUUGCAUGGCUGUGCAAAAACAAGCCCUCAUUUAAAUAAUGCACACAAAUGAACUCAAGCAAACCGAUACUGUGCCUUCUUUUAUUUUCACCACUGAGUGACACCGCAAACACUAGGUUACAAAUGGUCAAAUAUCCCUCCAUUUAGAGACUACAGGAAUGGACCGUUAGAAGCUACAUUGAAGGAGAUAAUAUAAUUAAACCAUAAAUUAUGAAUAUGGUAAUUUCUAACUUGAAACUUCUCUGCGCUGACUUCAUGGCCAACUUCAUAAGAGCUUCGGCGCCCGAAGACGCAGGCCAUUUGACAGAUCAUUUCGAAGUCGAGGCCACCGCCGGAGGUGCCUCUGAU
rnacentral:lncRNA from 1 species